rnacentral:rRNA from 1 species
GACGAACGCUGGCGGCGUGCUUAACACAUGCAAGUCGAGCGGUAAGGCCCUUUCGGGGGUACACGAGCGGCGAACGGGUGAGUAACACGUGGGUGACCUGCCCUCAGCUCUGGGAUAAGCCUGGGAAACCGGGUCUAAUACUGGAUAUGACUCCAUGACGCAUGUUGUGGGGUGGAAAGCCUUGUGCGGCUGAGGAUGGGCCCGCGGCCUAUCAGCUUGUUGGUGGGGUGANGGCCUACCAAGGCGACGACGGGUAGCCGGCCUGAGAGGGCGACCGGCCACACUGGGACUGAGACACGGCCCAGACUCCUACGGGA